GAGUUUGAUCCUGGCUCAGGAUGAACGCUGGCGGCGUGCCUAACACAUGCAAGUCGAACGAAGCACCUUUUGAGAUUCUUCGGAUGAUCGAUCGGUGACUGAGCGGCGGACGGGUGAGUAACGCGUGGGCAACCUGCCUCAUACAGGGGGAUAACAGUUAGAAAUGACUGCUAAUACCGCAUAAGACCACGGUACCGCAUGGUACAGUGGUAAAAACUCCGGUGGUAUGGGAUGGACCCGCGUCUGAUUAGGUAGUUGGUGGGGUAACGGCCUACCAAGCCGACGAUCAGUAGCCGACCUGAGAGGGUGAACGGCCACAUUGGGACUGAGACACGGCCCAGACUCCUACGGGAGGCAGCAGUGGGGAAUAUUGCACAAUGGGGGAAACCCUGAUGCAGCGACGCCGCGUGAGCGAUGAAGUAUUUCGGUAUGUAAAGCUCUAUCAGCAGGGAAGAAAAUGACGGUACCUGACUAAGAAGCCCCGGCUAACUACGUGCCAGCCGCCGCGGUAAUUC
rnacentral:rRNA from 1 species